ACCUCGUUAAACAGAAGCAGAGAGACAGAUGAGCAGUGGCCGCGGUAUAAAGAAACCUUCACCUGGCCAGCGUUCUGGCCACCCCAGGACCACCAUGACCGGCUGUGUGGGUUGUGCACUGCUCAAGACCAGAGGGCAUGAUUCCCGUGACUGUGAGGUUAACGGUGUCUCCUGGAGUGCUGUGGUGGGACAACCCUCCCACCCAUAAUUUCCUUGAUCUCCUCUCCCCGGUUCUUUCUGUUCGGUAGAUCCUGAUGUGGUGACUGAUGAAGAAACUGAUGCUCAGGGAGGUGAAGUAAAAUGCUUAAUUUUACAGAGUUAAUUUACUAGUUCUCACAAGUGAUGGAAUUGGCAUUCAAGCCUAGUUUUGCCCAAGUCCAAACCCUGGAAUACAGUCCAGCCUCCAGACUGGAUGAUAAAGUAGACAUUGAUUCUGGUGAAUUCGGGAAGAGGAGACGGAAACAGAGCGACCGGUGCCUUACUC